AUUUAAAUGGCCGCAGUAUUUUGACUGUGCAAAGGUAGCAUAAUUAUUAGUUUUUUAAUUGAAAGCUUGUAUGAAGGGUUGGACGAGAUAAAAUCUGUCUUUAUUUAAAUUAAAGUAUAAUUUAACUUUUAAGUCAAAAGGCUUAAAUGUUUAUAAAAGACGAGAAGACCCUAUAGAUCUUUAUUUAAUUAGGAUUUUAAUAAUUUAGGAUUAUUUUAAUUUGGAGUUUUAAUUAAAUUUUAUUGGGGUAAUAUAAAGAUUAAAUAAAUUCUUUUUAUUUAUAACAUUAAUUUAUGAAUAUAUGAUCCAUUAAUAUUGAUUAUAAGAUUAAGUUACCUUAGGGAUAACAGCGUAAUUUUUUUGGAGAGCUCAUAUCGAUAAGAAAGUUUGCGACCUCGAUGUUGGAUUAAAAAUUAGCUUGGGUGCAGAAGCUCAAGAUUUUGGUCUGUUCGACCAUUAAAUUUUUACAUGAUCUGAGUUCAGACCGGCGUAAGCCAGGUCGGUUUCUAUCUUUAUUUAGAUAAAAUAUUUUAGUACGAAAGGACCAAGUAUUUAAUAUAAUUAUAUUUAUUUUUUGAAGAAUAUU
rnacentral:rRNA from 1 species